CAGAGCCUGAGUCUGCACCAUGAGCUGGGCUCCUCUGCUCCUCACCCUCCUCGUAUGUCAUACAGUGUCACUGGCCCAGGUAGAGCUGACUCAGCCACCAUCGAUGACCAUGAACCUGGGACAGACAGUCACAAUCACCUGCACUGGGAAUGGCAAUAAUGUUGGUAAUGAGGGAGCAGCUUGGCUGCAGCAGCACCCAGGUCGGUCCCCCAAACUCCUGGUGGACAGGGUGCACAAUCGACCCUCAGGGAUCUCAGAGAGAUUCAAGGGGUCCAGGUCAGGAAACAUCGCUUCCUUGAUCAUCUCUGGGCUCCAGGAUGAGGAUGACGCUGACUAUUUCUGUACAGCAUGGGACAAGAGCCUUAAUGCUUGGCACAGUGCUUCAGGCCAGUGGGGAAGUGAGACAAAAACUUAUGAGCUCCCUUGGCCUCACUCAGCAGCACAUGGGAACCUCACAGAGCACCGGGUAAACUAG